ACCAGAACCAGCACCAGAACCAGAACCAGCACCAGCACCAGAACCAGAACCAGCACCAGCACCAGAACCAGAACCAGCACCAGGCUUCACCCCAGCUCGUUGAUCAACGGGCACAGGUGGAACCCAAUCACCCUGAUUGCACCUGGACUGGGAGACAGGUAACAAGUACACAAAUAAAACUAUUACUAUUUGUAUAGUUUGUGGUCUCUUAACAAUGUUACGAACAAGUAAUGAGAAGAAAUGCCUUUGAUUAGUAAAAAUGUAUUUAAUUUAAUUAAUAAAAACAUGUUUCGCAGAGAAUGAAAAAGAAAAACACUAGUUAAAAAUGAGCUUUGAUCAAAAGAGGAAUUUAGACCUCUACUACAAGUCCAUCUUUAUUUGACGGAAGCAAUAGUCAAAGAGAAUCAAUCAAGAGUGACAGUGGGUGCAAUGUUUGUGCUGUCAUUUAUACAAUACAGACAACGUUAAUAAUUUAUACAUUCUAAUCAGUAAGAUGAAAGAAAAUCAUAAGGAUGCGUAGAACUUAUCAAUUAAUGUGUUCACAUCAGUAGAAGUACCGUCACACUGAUAACAGAUGCUUCUUUCCAUGGUUCAGUAGUUAAAGCAUUAAGACUUUCUUUUUUUUUAUCUCAGAGGAUUUAAAAUCCCUCCAGCUAAAUGAUCCGUCUUCUGAAAACCAGCCUCACUGCUUCAGAAAUCUGUCAGGGAACAUCUGAUCCCUAGACCUGGAGGUCACUUAGGACCUUAUCUUUGAAUAUUAUAAAUCUGAUUGAAUGGGAGGUUGUUUAUAUAUAAUUACCCGUAGGCCUAUGACACCAAUACGUAAUGCUGUUUUCAAGACUUCAAGCUGAAAGAAAUAGGUUAAGCUUUUAAAUGUCCGACUGUAAUCUGACCCGAGGGACAAGAACCAAGACAACCAAGCAGGAUAGGCCAGUGCCCUGAUUUCUCUUGGGACAUGGGGCUAAAUUUCAGCCUCGGGCUUGUCCAGCUGCAGCGUGGAUCAAAAUAUCUAGUCUCAAUAUGAGGACAGUGGUAUUGUCAGGGUUUAAAUGGUUUGAUGAGUUUUCUACCAUACAUACAAAAUAAAAAGCACCAAUGAUACACAGCGCAUCCGGAAAACAUUCACAGCGCUUCACUUUUUCCACAUUGUUAUGUUACAGCCUUAUUCCAAAAUGGAUUCAAUUCAUUAUUUUCCUCAACAUUCUACACACAACAAUGCAUAAUGACAAAGUGAAAACUGUUUAUUGCAAAUUUUUGCAAAUCUGUUAAAAAUAAAGAACGAAAACAUAACAUGUACAUAAGUAUUCAGUCUUUGCUCAAUACUUUAUUGAAGCACCUUUGGCAGCAAUUACAGCCUUAAGUCUUCUUGGGUAUGAUUCCACAAGCGUGGCACACCUAUUUCUGGGCAGGUUCUCCCAUUCUUCUCUGCAGAACCUCUCAAGCUCCAUCAGGUUGGAUGGACUCUGGCUGGGCCACUCAAGGACAUUCACAGAGUCCCGAAGCCACUCCUUUGUUAUCUUGGCUGUGUGCUUCGGGUCGUUGUCCUGUUGGAAGAUGAACCGUCGCCCCAGUCUGAGGUCCAGAGCGCUUUGGAGCAUGUUUUCAUCGAGGAUGUGUUAAUGCCCCAGUCUGCUGUGUCACAGGAUGUCUCUGUACAUUGCUGCAUUCAUCUUUCCCUCAAUCCUGACUAGUCUCCCAGUUCCUCCCGCUGAAAAACAUCCCCACAUGAUGCUGCCACCACCAUGCUUCACUGUAGCGAUGGUAUUGGUCAGGUGAUGAGCAGUGCCUGGUUUCCUCCAGACAUGACGCUUUGCAUUCAGGCCAAAGAGUUCAAUCUGUGUUUCAUCAGACCAGAGAAUUUUGUUUCUCAUGGUCUGAGAGUCCUUCAGGCGGGCUGUCAUGUGCUUCUUACUGAGGAGUGGCUUCCGUCUGGCCUCUCUACCAAACAGGCCUGAUUUGUGGAGUGCUGCAGAGAUGGUUGUCAUUCUCGAAGGUUCUCCUCUCUUCAUAGAACUGGAGCUCUGUCAGAGUGACCAUCAGGUUCCUGGUCACCUCCCUGACUAAGGCCCUUCUCCCCCGAUCGCUCAGUCUGGCUGGGCAGGCGACUCUAGCAAGAGUCCUGGUGGUUCCAAACUUCUUCCAGAUGAUGGAGGCCACUGUGCUCAUUGGGACUUUCAAUGCUACAGAAAUCUUUCUAUACCCUUCGCCAAAUCUGUGCCUCGAUACAAUUCUGUCUCUGAGUUCUACAGACCUCAUGGCUUGGUUUAUGCUCUGAUAUGCACUGUCAUACUCUGAUACCUUAUAUAGACAGGUGUGUGCCUUUCUCAAUCAUGUCCAAUCAACUGAAUUUAGCACAGGUGGACUCCAAUCAAGUUGUAGAAACAAGGAUGAUCAGUGGAAACAGGAAGCACCUGAGCUAAAUUUUGAGUGUCAUGGCAAAGGCUGUGAAUAAUUAUGUACAUGUUAUGUUUUCGUUCUUUAUUUUUAACAGAUUGUCAUUAUGGGUUGUUGUGUGUAGAAUGUUGAGGAAAAUAAUGAAUUUAAUCCAUUUUGGAAUAAGGCUGUAACAUAACAAAAUGUGGAAAAAGUGAAGCGCUGUGAACACUUUGCGGAUGCACUGUAGUUUUACAGGUUUUUACACUGACUUAAAAAAAGUUGGAGAACAAACUUCAUGAAAAUGUUUUGAAAAUAACCACAGAAAAAAGUCAUAUGGUACUGAAAACCCCCACUAUUUAAUUUAAAACAAAAUUCAAAAAAUCUCAACAAAUUUGUAGUACAAACUUUAUACAUAUUAUUUUCUGACAUGGCGUAUCAAGAAAAUAAAAAAGUAGAAAGUAAAAAUAUUUCAGUAUAGAAUUUUGAAAAACAGUCUAGUAUAGUCAGAUUAUUAAAGAAGAUUAAAAUGAACCUUUUGUAUUUUAGUGUGUAUUAUGUCAAAAACAAAAAAAUAUAUAGUAUUGUCAAAAGAAGUGAAAGAACUACAAAUAUGAUUUACAUUUCAUGAAGAACCAAAUGACAAGAUAAAGGAAAAAAUGAACUUUUGGUUAAAAUAUAAAAUAACGUAAAAGAAGAAAAAUCCAGUGCAUAUCAAAUGUACAAGUUAUGCAAACUGCUAAAACACAAAGAGCUUUCACAGAAUAUAAUUGAAUAAAACAUUUAUUCUGACUGGACCCUCCAAACCUAAAACAUUAAAACACAGACAAGGGCAACAAGCCCCCCAGCACUGAGGCGCCUCUUCAUGAUGCUCUGAGGUCACUGCCAAUGGCCUCGAUGUACACUGACCUCUAGUGGCCACGUUCAGGAAGAACAGUACACUGACCUCUAGUGGCCACGUUCAGGAAGAACAGUACACUGACCUCUAGUGGCCACGUUCAGGAAGAACACUCAACAGCAAUCUAAUGUUAAUAUGAUUCUAGUGGGACAUUUUAUUUCAGCUCACUUGACUCCUAAAAAUAAAUACAGAAUGAUAACCAAUUUUCUAUAGUUGAACGUUAAAGUGUAAAAAUAGGUCAAGUGUCACUUUUCUAGGUUUUGGGGGGUUGAUUUCACAAUGAUUGUGUGUAAUACCCAUUGAGAGAUUAAUGCUUUCACCUGUGACACUUUCUGCGUUUCUUUCUCUCUUUUCUGUCAGCGUGGUGCACACAUUCCUUCAGGGGGAGCCGUCGCUCUUUCUGUAAAUCAUACUCGGGCUGCUUUUUAUUUUCAUACAUUAAACAUUUUCCCUUUACUGCUAAAAUCUUUCUACAUUCACUUUCUGUCUGGAAAAAAAAAUAAUUCACGGGCCACUGGCAUUUUGGGAGAUGAAAAUUUAUAUUAUGGGAGUAUAAUGGUUUUCUUCCCAGUGUCCCAUUGUGUGCUGGAUCUGCAGGACUCCAUUCAUCUGUCCCUUUUUCUUCAGUUAUCGUCUCCUUCUCUGCCCCCCUCCCUACAUUUACGUUUCUGUGAUAUCUGCACCUAAAAAGACGCCUUCUGUCCCUCAUUUUGCCCGUCUCCUCGUCUCUUUGCGUGGGUGGGAGGAAGAAAAGGCCGGUCAGUGGAGUUGGACAUGAACAAAGAAGUGGUGUACUUGUAGUGUACAGUAUUGUACUGUACAGUAGUGUAGUUAAGCAAUAAGGUACAAGAGGCUGUGUUUUAUCGUCUGGCCUAACAACCCCUGAACUGUUUCAUUAUUGAAGAUAAAGUACUGCCUCAAGUACCUUUAUUGUUUCUAUACUACGGUUACCAGCGAAAUUAUAAAUGCACACCAGAUCGUUUGGGGAGCUCCCGGCGUCCAGCCGCCUCGUCUGGCUGAGUUUCUCUCACCGGAUCGCCACUAUCGAAAUACAGGGAGACAAACACAAUCCUUGAUUCACUGCACCUGAGGCCAAUGGCGCCUCCACCUGGCACAGUAGUGUAUGGUAGGGUGCAGUAGGACACAGCAGUGUAGUGUAGGGUGCAGUAGGACACAGCAGUGUAGUUUAGGAGUGCAUAGGACACAGCAGUGUAGCGUGCAGUAGGACACAGCAGUGUAGUGUAGUGUGCAGUAGGACACAGUAGUGUAGUGUGCAGUAGGACACAGUAGUGUAGCGUGCAGUAGCACACAGCAGUGUAGCGUGCAGUAGGACACAGCAGUGUAGUGUAGCGUGCAGUAGGACACAGCAGUGUAGCGUGCAGUAGGACACAGCAGUGUAGUGUAGUGUGCAGUAGGACACAGUAGUGUAGUGUGCAGUAGGACACAGCAGUGUAGCGUGCAGUAGGACACAGUAGUGUAGCGUGCAGUAGGACACAGCAGUGUAGUGUAGUGUGCAGUAGGACACAGUAGUGUAGCGUGCAGUAGCACACAGCAGUGUAGCGUGCAGUAGGACACAGCAGUGUAGCGUGCAGUAGGACACAGUAGUGUAGCGUGCAGUAGGACACAGCAGUGUAGUGUAGUGUGCAGUAGGACACAGUAGUGCAGUGUGCAGUAGGACACAGCAGUGUAGUGUAGCGUGCAGUAGGACACAGUAGUGUAGUGUGCAGUAGGACACAGUAGUGUAGUGUGCAGUAGGACACAGAGCAGGAGCAGGAUGAGCAGCAGCAGAUAAAACCCAGCUCCUGCAUGCAUAUUUAAUUUCUGGAGUAUUGCAAGCCAGCAGGAGAUGUAGGAAAUCUGGCAGAUUAUGAAGAAUUCAGCUCCUUUAUCGGUCUUCUCUCUUCCUCUAUCUGCUUUUCAGCCUGUGACUGCUUUUUUAACCCCUUACUUCCAUCUUACCUAAGUGGCUUUGUAAUGAGCUUCUCUUUCAUUUGAUACGUGAAGAAACAGAUGUGGGGAUGUCGUCCCUUUCUCUGUCUGCUAAUGGUCAGAAUGAUCAGAUGACCUUAAAAGUGAGAUUUGGUUCUUUGUGUUCAUUGUAGGGAUUGUGGUGUUUCUUUAAUAUUUCGGGGUUAGGAUUUUAUCCAGUACGGUCAAACCGUAUUUCCUUUUGAUCUUGUUAAUAAAUUGUGAAUCAUUAAUGUGUGUGUUACGUGCCUUGUUUGUGUUUGCGCCUGUGUGUGUGUGUGUGUGUUUCUUCAGGUGUGCUGGCGAUGUCACUCCUGCAGCUGAUCAGUGUUAGGGAUUUAAGCAAGAAGUGCACCCCUAGUGGUGGAAAUGAUAUUACAUGUAGUAAUGUUCAGGGUAGAUGUGUAGUUUGUGAUGUUAGAUAUUAGUUAUUACAUUAACAUGUUAGAUGAAGUGAAUGCAAUAUGAAUCAAACACAAUGUGGAGUCAUGUAAAUCAUAUAAACACUGUACACAUUAACAUUCUGUCACCAUGUGAUGUUAAAACCUGGGGACCGAUGCUAGUUUCCGUCAAUUUUUACGUGUUGUACUUAAGUGCACUAGUUAUUAGAUGAAGACCAUCUAUGCACGCUUUGUUAUAUUCACUCAUUGAGGCAUAACGCCAAAUGUAUCUACAUUGAAUGUAUUGGAAGGUGAGGGACAGAAAGGACAGAGAGGUCUCAGGUUACAGCAGCAGCUUCACACCUCGAUGUGAGGGGGACAAACCAGGAGGGGACACUUUGAAGGAGAAGCCAAUGACAUUCAAAUGCACCAAAGAAGACACACCUCAGGAGUUUUCAAAUGACCAAAGCGAGGAAAGGACUGUUAGAAUUCUCCUGCAGCUGCUUUGAUGAGUCACUUUAGACUCGACUCAGAGAAUUCUCUAUUUUGCGAAAUAUUGCACUGUUCGAAUUGUAUUUUACUUUGUAACUGUAUUCCUUACACUUUGUUUAGUUAAUAAAUACUUUUUGAUUUUUAAAUUUGAGCAAGUUGACUCUUUUGAUUCUUAGUUUCUGGCCGGGACGAGAACAAAGGAGUGAGCCCUCCUUCGAGGGCUUUCUGAACCCUAAACAUCAGCAUGGGGCUACGCGGCUGUGUUGCUGCAGUGGAACCAGAGCGGAACCAGAGAGGUGUUUGGUGCUGCCGUGAGGAGUUUUUGCGAGCCAGUGAAGAAGGAGGCAUACGCCAUACCAGUCUUCCUUUUGGAGAUUGUUUUCAGUUGCCUUGUGUUGAGUUUUCCAUCAUUAAUUACUAGGGGUGUAACAAUUCAUUUUAACAACGAUUCGAUUCGCGAUUCAUGGUUGCCGAGGACAUUUUGGUUUAAGUAGAUAUUAUUUCCUGCAUUCUAGUGGAUUUUUGUGUGGUAUGCUAAAUAUGUGCAAUACCUCAACUUCAUUCAUGUUCAUCUGAUCAUGACUUGUAGACUUGAGCUGAACAUUCAACCAGAAAACAAUUGUUGAGCCUCAAUGACGGUCUUUGUACCACAAUAAAGCCUAAUUAAUAGACCUGUGUUUGAGAUUGGACCAAGGUAGGUUGAUUGACAUUUUGAGUAUAAUGGUAUUCAACCCAUUUAGAACUGAAACCUAACCUGUAUUGUUAAUAAUUGUAUUCUUAAGAGCACGUAUGUUCAUGGAUCAACACAUGACCAAAAUAACUAAACAGAGGUAUCAGAUGCAGAUCAGAAGCUGGUCCUUUUCGUAGGUCCCAGUUGGGAAACGUCUUCAGCGUGAGUCCUUUUCUUUAGUCGGUUAUUAAAACAGCCUGAAUAAAACACGCUGUGAUGUUUUGAGCGUGCGGUUCACCACCAGGUUAACAAAGUGCUCUGCGGCUGCUUGUUGUGACACCACACAAACACAAACCAAUAAUUUAUUUCAAGAUUUAAAGUUUAAGAGAGUAAGUUCUUAAUUGUACCACAUGUGAUUAACGUCUCUCUCUCACAUUGGAGAUGAAGUUUUUCUUCAACGUUGGAUUCUCUUUUUUCCUUUGUAACUCUUCUUCUGUGGCUAACUUCGGGAUGAAGAGGAUGAUGUGUAUGCAGCGAAUAUGGAUGGAUGGACAGAUGCGCUUCUUAGCGCCCUCUACCAUCGGGGAGGUUGAAGAAGAACGAACGUGUCUCGGCCCAAACAUUUUUUGUGUGUGGGAAAUUGGAUGUGUGGCGUGAGAAAACAUUCAACGCGUGUUUCUCAUGGCGAAAGCGUGAGAGCAGCUCUGGUUUGACACGUGGAUGAAUUCCUCUGCACGGUUCUACAUCCAAUGCAAAAAGCUCUCUCCAUCUUCAACCACCGCCUUGCUUUCUCCCAUGUAACUGACCGCAGCCAGCAGCCGUUUCGUUUCCCGCGAUUACUUCCGGAAGUAAACAAACGUAAGUUAACUACGUUAAAAUAUUUUGUUGCAUUAAACUUGGCCACAUUAAUCGCAUAGAUUAACUUGUUUACGUAAACGUAACGUAAAAACUGAUUUCUAGCUUUUGAGAAAGGUGACCACUCACUAUUUGUCCACAAUAACUAUUCAAUUUGCUUGGAAUGCUGGCUUGAAAAUGAAUUUGAAACGAUAUUGACAAGGAAAAAAGUCCCACAGGUAUUUCAUAGACAAAAGCUUUUUUUAAUGAAAAUCAUGUAUUUUCCUGUCAAGUAAAAAAGUUUGAUCAUAUGCAUACUAUUUAUAGCUUUAACAUAGCAGGCAGUAUAAAGAGGGUUAACAUUUGAAAUAUUCAGAGCAUUCAGAAGCAUACUUCUUCUAAUAAGUAGAAACGUACGUGGUCCUCUGACUGGUUGUUCCUCACUAGAGAAACGCAUCCGGUGUGUGAGUCUGGGCUCAAAUUCACACAUCCAGAUGUUGAGAGGAGCUCAAUCAAUGCCGCAUGUUAGAAAGAGGACUCGGGAUGACAUGUUGACCUUGGCGGUUUUAUUCUGACACGUCUCCAUUUAGUUUGUUAGCUAAGCUUGAUGUCCAAGAGGUCUGUUCUGUUGGACUUUUCCCCAGAUGUCUAUUUAUGGAAGACUGCUUGAUUAUUUGCUCCUGAUUUGUUAUUGGCUUUGUUUCACGUUCAGCUGAGAAUAACAAACAACCAAAAUCACUAGAUUUGAAAGACAAAGGGUAACAAACACGUAUUGAAAGUUCUCUCUUCAAUUAGAUUUGAUUUUUUUGUGCUAUUUAUAUAUUCUAGAGAUUUGGAAGUUAUCAUUCUAGAAUACAUGCCUGCCACCUUGCAGCUACACCAGUUCUGAAGCAGACUUAACAUCCUUACUAAGCCUGCAGAUUUUUUUAAAUGCGCUUUAAAUGUGAAAACAAUAUCUGUACGUAGAGAUUGUCAGCAGAAUACUACUAAGUACCACAGUGUCCCAAACGUUGUACUUAAAGGACCAGUGUGUAGCAUUUGGUGCCAUCUAGAGGAGCGGCUGAGAGUCACUAAAGUGGUCAUAACAAGACCUUCAUGACCUAAAAGCUCAAUGUUAUAGGAAGAUAAUAGUCAUAAUAAGGUGGCCCCGCCCUAAAGCACACCCUGCUGUAUGUCCAAUCGACUCAAAAUGGGACCAUUGUUUAUGGAAGUGGACAUCAUGCUGUUGUAGUUUUAGUAGUAGAAAUAUGGCACAGCAACAUGAUGGACGUGGUGCAAGAGAACACGCUCGCACCGUAUUCUCAGAUAAUUACUUCCUGUCACAACAUACAUGUCACAGUGUGUAAGGCAGGGGGCCACAUACUGACCAGUCCAAUCCUCGGCAAUGAUACGGUCAACGGGGGGGGGUCAUUUUCUAAUGGACGCUCCUGCCUGGAGGAACGACGCUGUCGAUCCCCCCCUGGUCUAACGCAUGCGCUCACUCGCAGAGUGCGUCCCCCAGUGGACUUUUUAGUGGAGUGACACCUUAAAAGGUAAGUAGUGGUGCUAAGAAUUAUUAUUGAUUCAUUAACAAAGUCAUUUGCAUGUUUGUGGAGUAUGAGGAGAACUGCAGAUGUAAUAUACAACCUAAUAAAUUCAUAAAUGAUAUACAACUGAUAUACAAAUGAUAUACACAGCCCUUCAGCAACACCACCCCCAGCAGCUUAUGUGUAUAUAUAUAUAUAUAUAUAUAUGGGGGUGGUGU
ensembl:lncRNA